rnacentral:rRNA from 1 species
GGAUUAGUGGCGAACGGGUGAGUAACACGUGGGCAAUCUGCCCUGCACUCUGGGACAAGCCCUGGAAACGGGGUCUAAUACCGGAUACUGACCACUGGGGGCAUCCUUGGUGGUCGAAAGCUCCGGCGGUGCAGGAUGAGCCCGCGGCCUAUCAGCUUGUUGGUGAGGUAGUGGCUCACCAAGGCGACGACGGGUAGCCGGCCUGAGAGGGCGACCGGCCACACUGGGACUGAGACACGGCCCAGACUCCUACGGGAGGCAGCAGUGGGGAAUAUUGCACAAUGGGCGAAAGCCUGAUGCAGCGACGCCGCGUGAGGGAUGACGGCCUUCGGGUUGUAAACCUCUUUCAGCAGGGAAGAAGCGAAAGUGACGGGUACCUG